rnacentral:rRNA from 1 species
GACGAACGCUGGCGGCGUGCUUAACACAUGCAAGUCGAACGGUAAGGCCCUUCGGGGUACACGAGUGGCGAACGGGUGAGUAACACGUGGGUGAUCUGCCCUGCACUUCGGGAUAAGCCUGGGAAACUGGGUCUAAUACCGGAUAGGACUCCUGGCUUCAUGGUUGGGGGUGGAAAGCUUUUGCGGUGUGGGGUGGGCCCGCGGCCUAUCAGCUUGUUGGUGGGGUAAUGGCCUACCAAGGCGACGACGGGUAGCCGGGCUGAGAGGGUGACCGGUCACACUGGGACUGAGAUACGGACCAGACUCCUACGGGAGGCAGCAGUGGGGAAUAUUGCACAAUGGGCGCAAGCCUGAUGCAGCGACGCCGCGUGAGGGAUGACGGCCUUCGGGUUGUAAACCUCUUUCAGCUAUGACGAAGCGCAAGUGACGGUAGUAGCAGAAGAAGGACCGGCCAGCUACGUGCCAGCCGCCGCGGUAA